rnacentral:rRNA from 1 species
UGGGGAAUCUUCCGCAAUGGACGAAAGUCUGACGGAGCAACGCCGCGUGAGUGAUGACGGCCUUCGGGUUGUAAAGCUCUGUUAAUCGGGACGAAUGGUUCUUGUGCAAAUAGUGCGAGGAUUUGACGGUACCGGAAUAGAAAGCCACGGCUAACUACGUGCCAGCAGCCGCGGUAAUACGUAGGUGGCAAGCGUUGUCCGGAAUUAUUGGGCGUAAAGCGCGCGCAGGCGGAUUGGUCAGUCUGUCUUAAAAGUUUGGGGCUUAACCCCGUGAUGGGAUGGAAACUGCCAAUCUAGAGUAUCGGAGAGGAAAGUGGAAUUCCUAGUGUAGCGGUGAAAUGCGUAGAUAUUAGGAAGAACACCAGUGGCGAAGGCGACUUUCUGGACGAAAACUGACGCUGAGGCGCGAAAGCCAGGGGAGCGAACGGGAUUAGAUACCCCGGUAGUCCUGGCCGUAAACGAUGGGUACUAGGUGUAGGAGGUAUCGACCCCUUCUGUGCCGGAGUUAACGCAAUAAGUACCCCGCCUGGGGAGUACGACCGCAAGGUUG